AACGAACGCUGGCGGCAGGCUUAAUACAUGCAAGUCGAACGCCCCUUUCGGGGGGAGUGGCAGACGGGUGAGUAACGCGUGGGAACGUGCCCAAAGGUAGGGAACAACUCCGGGAAACUGGAGCUAAUACCCUAUGUGCCCGAGAGGGGAAAGAUUUAGCGCCUUUGGAUCGGCCCGCUUUGGAUUAGCUAGUUGGAGGGGUAAAAGCCUACCAAGGCGACGAUCCAUAGCUGUUCUGAGAGGAAGAUCAGCCACACUGGGACUGAGACACGGCCCAGACUCCUACGGGAGACAGCAGUAGGGAAUCUUGGACAAUGGGCGCAAGCCUGAUCCAGCCAUGCCGCGUGAGUGAUGAAGGCCUUAGGGUUGUAAAACUCUUUCGCAGGUGACGAUAAUGACGGUAACCUGAGAAGAAGCCCCGGCUAACUUCGUGCCAGCCGCCGCCGUAA
rnacentral:rRNA from 1 species